UUGCCAAUGGGCGAAGCCUGAUGCAGCGACGCCGCGUGGGUGAUGAAGGUUUUCGGAUCGUAAAACCCUUUUCUGUGUGACGAGGAAGGACGGUAGCACAGGAAUAAGUGUCGGCUAACUACGUGCCAGCAGCCGCGGUAAUACGUAGGACGCAAGCGUUAUCCGGAAUUACUGGGCGUAAAGAGCGUGUAGGCGGUUGUCCAAGUCACCCGUGAAAGCUCCCGGCUAAACUGGGAGAGGUCGGGUGAGACUGGAUGGCUAGAGGGUUGUAGAGGGGUGUGGAAUUCCGGGUGUAGUGGUGAAAUGCGUAGAGAUCCGGAGGAACACCAGAGGCGAAGGCGGCACCCUGGACAACACCUGACGCUGAGACGCGAAAGCGCGGGGAGCAAACGGGAUUAGAGACCCCGGUAGUCUGCGCCGUAAACGAUGUGCGCUAGAUGUUCGUCUUCCUACGGGGGGAUGAGCGUCGAAGCCAACGCGAUAAGCGCACCGCCUGAGGA
rnacentral:rRNA from 1 species